GGUUUUCGGAUCGUAAAACUCUGUUGUUAGGGAAGAACAAGUACCGUUCGAAUAGGGCGGUACCUUGACGGUACCUAACCAGAAAGCCACGGCUAACUACGUGCCAGCAGCCGCGGUAAUACGUAGGUGGCAAGCGUUGUCCGGAAUUAUUGGGCGUAAAGCGCGCGCAGGUGGUUUCUUAAGUCUGAUGUGAAAGCCCACGGCUCAACCGUGGAGGGUCAUUGGAAACUGGGAAACUUGAGUGCAGAARAGGAAAGCGGAAUUCCACGUGUAGCGGCGAAAUGCGUAGAGAUGUGGAGGAACACCAGUGGCGAAGGCGGCUCUCUGGUCUGUAACUGACGCUGAGGCGCGAAAGCGUGGGGAGCAAACAGGAUUAGAUACCCUGGUAGUCCACGCCGUAAACGAUGAGUGCUAGGUGUUGGGGGGUUCCACCCUCAGUGCUGAAGUUAACACAUUAAGCACUCCGCCUGGGGAGUACGACCGCAAGGUUGAAACUCAAAGGAAUUGACGGGGGCCCGCACAAGCAGUGGAGCAUGUGGUUUAAUUCGAAGCAACGCGAAGAACCUUACCAGGUCUUGACAUCCUUUGACCACUCUAGAGAUAGAGCUUCCCCCUUCGGGGGACAAAGUGACAGGUGGUGCAUGGUUGUCGUCAGCUCGUGUCGUGAGAUGUUGGGUUAAGUCCCGCAACGAGCGCAACCCUUGAUCUUAGUUGCCAUCA
rnacentral:rRNA from 1 species